GGUACGGUAGACGUAAAAGCUUUGACGGCGUGCAUUUCUGCAGGUUAAAUUUUUAUAUUUUAGUGUUCAAGGAGUUAUAAGAGUUGUGUUCUAGAGUUUCAUCAUUCAUCUAAUAUUUAUUUCAACAUUAUGGAUAGUGAUUACUGCCCUAAAAUAACGAAAUCAAAAGUGUUUUGUUGUGUUUAUGGAAGCAACAGUAGAGCAAACAGAGAACCAGUUUCAUUCCAUAGCUUUCCCAAGAAUAACAGUUGUAAACUGGAAAUAACUAGCAAAAGUGGUAUUGUCGAGAAAUAAAUAACACCUUUUAUGAAAGUUUGUUCAAAGCAUUUUAAAGAGUCUGAUUUUCAUACACCAAGUAAGAGACCUGAGACCGAGAAAAUCUAACUUGAGACGCCGAAAUUUGAAAAGAAAUGCAGUCCCAACAAAAAACCUCCCUACAGGUACUCAUGAGAACAUAAAAAAAGAAAGAAAGACGGAAUUUAAGUAGAUAUGAUCCUGUACAACAACCAAUUUUGAAAUCUGACUGUGAAGUAAUGACACAAAAUCAAGAUGAGAAUGAACUUCAUGCUCAGGAAAUGAUUCAUAAUAUCAAAAUAUAUUCAUAGCUAGAGCAAGAGUCCAUAUUGAACGUGUGAACCAGAGGAUAAAAAUUUUCAAAAUUUUGAGUAAUGUAUUACCGUGGAACCUGGUUCCUAAAAUAGAAGAAAUAAUGAUUAUAUGUUGUGCGAUUGUAAACCUAUCCAGCCCCAUUUUUUCUGAAGAUAAUUUCUGAAUAUUUUUGUAUUUUGCCUUUAUUUCGAGUAGCAAUAUAGAUGUAAAAUCUAAAGCUUCUGUGUAGCGAAACAGUUGUUAUUUAUAUAUAUAU